CUAUGAUGUCAUUAAUUUGGUGUCAUGGGAAUCAGGACUGUUACUUGAAAAAAUUAGAGNGUUUAAAGCAGGCACACGCUUGAAUACAUUAGCAUGGAAUAAUGAAUAGGACGUUUGACCCUAUUUUGUUGGUUUCUAGGAUCGACGUAAUGAUUAAUAGGGAUAGUUGGGGGCAUUAGUAUUCAAUUGUCAGAGGUGAAAUUCUUGGAUUUAUUGAAGACUAACUACUGCGAAAAGCAUUUGCCAAGGAUGUUUUCAUUAAUCAAGAACGAAAGUUAGGGGAUCGAAGACGAUCAGAUACCGUCGUAGUCUUAACCAUAAACUAUGCCGACUAGGGAUCGGAUGAUGUUAAUUUUUUAAUGACUCAUUCGGCGCCUUACG
rnacentral:rRNA from 1 species